GCUACCGAUGAGUGCAAAACAAAAAUAGAAGCAGGCUGGUGCGAAAGCUACUUCCUCAGCAGCAGCAGGAGGAGGAGGAGGAGGGGGUGCCUGGAGUAUUUCUUGCUGAACGUCUGCCUAAUGCCUAUAGAUGCAGAGAACCUUUGUUUAAAAAAAAAAAAAAAAGCCGUACUUUGCGAUGCCUUCGGCUCGGGGCAGGAUGGGUUCUAGCUGAAGACGGAUUCCUGGCACCACUGCCGCUGUCACUCCUCUCUUCCCCCUUCCCCGCCCGCAGCAGACGUGAUACUAAAGUCGCCUGGGCCAGCUGCCCUAAAUAGAAGCUGCCGGCAUGGAGCAAGCGACGGCGGCCCAGGCCUUGGAGCAGGUGUGAUGGAGGAAAUAGAGCCAUGCAAGUGGUGCCAUCAUUGAAUAAUGGCCUCGGGCAUCAGGAAGAAACAGACCCCGCCUCAUCUCUGGACAUGGAGGAAUCUGCUUUGAAAGCCAAUGUUGUUGUACAGAAAGCCAAGGAUUUGACUGCCAGUGACAAAGAAGUGAAUUUGAUAAUGACAAAUGUAGCGGCAGAUGGCAAAACUGAGAGGCGGGAUCCAGGACCAACUGUGUUUGAUGCUGAGACUGCAACACACAUUGGCAAGGUGACAGCUGCAGAUGCCAUUGCUGUUGAAUUGGAUUUCAAGUCAACCCAUUCAGAGACCAAAGAGUUGGACAGAACUCAUAGCAACAGUGGAGCAGGCCAUGACAUGAUGUCCCAAGGUAGGAUUAAGGAUUGGAGUACCACAGAAAGCACACGGAUUUCAGAAGAUACAGGUCAGUUUAACAAAGGCACAGUCCUGGGUCCCAGCACAGGAGUAACAUCAGAGGACACAAAGCUUGAACAGGGCAAACAGGAAGAUGAUGAUGAUGUCAUUUCCCUUGACUGUGAAAUUCUUGGGUUUGGUCCUGAUGUUGAGUUCCUGGGCCCAGAUGCUGAAAUCUAUAUGCAGUUCAUGCGGAGUCAUCGCUGUUAUGAUGCUAUUCCCACCAGUUCCAAACUGGUCGUGUUUGAGACCACUCUGCAGAUUAAAAAGGCGUUCUUGGCCCUGGUGGCUAAUGGGGUGCGAGCCGCUCCUCUUUGGGACAGCAAGCAGCAGUGCUUUGUGGGUAUGCUGACCAUCACUGAUUUUAUUAAUAUCUUACAUCGCUAUUAUCGAUCUCCUCUGGUCCAGAUAUACGAGAUUGAGGGACACAAAAUUGAAACUUGGAGAGAGGUGUAUUUGCAAGGUUGCUUCAAGCCUUUGGUGCACAUUUCUCCAAACCACAGCCUCUUUGAUGCAGUUUAUUCCUUGAUUAAGAAUAAGAUCCACCGGCUACCUGUGAUUGAUCCCAUCUCGGGGAAUGUCCUACACAUCCUGACUCACAAGCGAAUCCUCAAAUUUCUGCAUAUCUUUGGAGCCAUGCUUCCAAAGCCACGCUUCCUGCAGAAAACCAUCCAGGAGCUGGGCAUUGGUACCUUUCGUGACAUUGCAAUAGUGAUAGACUCAGCUCCUGUCUACACAGCUCUGGAGAUUUUUGUGGACCGCAGAGUCUCGGCGCUGCCUGUGGUUAAUGAAAAAGGAACGGUAGUUGGACUCUAUUCGCGCUUUGAUGUAAUUCAUUUGGCUGCCCAGAAGUCUUACAACAACUUGGACAUUAGUGUGGGGGAAGCCCUGAAACAGCGCUCGGUCUGCCUAGAAGGGGUCCUUACAUGCUAUCCCUAUGAAACUCUCGAAGAAAUCAUUGAUCGCAUUGUCAAAGAGCAGGUCCAUCGCCUGGUUCUGGUGGAUAAGAAGAACACUCCACGGGGGAUCGUGUCCCUCUCUGACAUUCUCCAAGCCUUGGUGCUCACACCCGCAGGUAUCGAUGCCCUAAACUCUUAGCUGGUCGACGCUCCAUCCUUCUUCCAUUUGUACCCUCCAUUUCCUCCACUUCUCUCCAGCUCAGUAACAGAGGAAAUUACAGCUAGGAAAAGAAGCCAUGAAACCUUCCAACUUCUUCCUGGAAAUUCCCACUAAUGCUUGGUGCAGAAGUUCCCACUAAUGCUUGUAUUGCAUAGCUCUGGACAAUCUUGGCUGCCUCUUACUUGUGAAGCAGUGGUCCCCACAGGAAACAUUAAAAAAGAACGCCUAAUUCUUUUAAGAAAUUUGCAUCAUUUUAGCUGCAAGGGUUAUCAUGAGAAUUUGGCCAUGUGGAUAUAUAUAUAUAUAAGCUGCCCCACCAGAAAACCAUUUUUUGCCUUGUUCCACUGUGCUUGAUUUUGAAUGAGCCUGACUGAGCCUUUGACUUGGAUUUCUUGCUGCUGCCACCAAUCCAAAGCUAGCGAUAUUUGUGCCUAUCUGCAUUUGUGUGCUCAGCUGGCUGGCAUAGAUUUGAAUACACAAUUUGUCUAUUAGUAACAAUUCAGCUGGCAAUUCCCAAUAUGUUCUUCUACUUUCCCAAAUGUCAAAACUUCUAGACCUAGAGAUGAGGGCAGUUUUUAUGGAUUUCUCUAGGAAUAUGCAUUCUUUCUCUUUUUUUAAAAAAAAUAAUUUUUGUUUAGUUUACAAUUUUUAUUAGUUGAUAAUAGAAAAUACAAAAAUACAAAUGCAUACUUUCUCAAGUACAAGGAAAAAGCAUGGAUAAUGCUGCUUAAGCAUAAUCCUUUCUUUAUAAACAUCCUUAUUUGAAAAUGUCCUUAUUAAGCUUUCAUUCUGUAUUCCAACACAAUGCUCAAAAGAGAGGUAAAAUUAGGAAGGCUGUAGCAAAUGUCUUUCUCAGUCUCCGAGUUCCUCGUGGAUUCACAGUUUAAUGAAGUCAGCAACAGUUAAGUGAUGCAUUUAAUUAAGGCAAAAUCUAGGACUGUAGCCAAUAUUGUUGAUUGGAAACUGUGCUCUGAUUUUGAGUGGACUAGCUGUAAUUAUAGGUGAUUUUAUACUUGCAAGUUGUCACAUUAUACUUGUUUUAUGUUAAUUCUGCUGGAGCACUGUAAUGACAUUAAAGCAGAACAAAGUCAGCUUGCUCAGUUCCACUUCAUUUUUUAAAACCCAAAAUUCCAUCUUUCAGAAUCUGGAAUGAAAGAUAAAUCCCAGAGACCUGUCUAACAAAACCUUAUACUUAAUUUCCUGGAAGUGCUAAUUAAUACUGUAAUAGUGACUUAACUACGUAAACUUUUUAUUUGUUAAUACAAAUAUAUUUUAUUUAUUCUAAAUAAAUAAAUAAAUGUAGGUACUAUAAACUAACGUGUGAAGGAAAAAAAAAUUGCCUUGCUGCAACUGUUAGUCAGAAACUCUUGCCAGUCCCCUGCAAAUCAUCCAAUAACCUAUAAAUACUUCUCCCAAUCUUCCUUCGAUCUGCUCCUGCUUUACUAUAAACUAGCAAUUCAUAAUAAGUAGACCAGAUCAGGAAUUGAACUCUGCAGAAAAACCAGCACUGUAUUUUAUUGAGAUUGACUGUAAUUAAAAGAAUCUUGCAAGCCUGCUUGUAUUUUAUUGCCUCUUACCUACUUAAUUAGGCCUAUCCAAGCCUCUUCCAAAUUCAAUCUUGCUUCUCAGGACUUAAGAAAUGUUUCAGCCCUCUUUGCUUACACAAAAGUUAUUGCCUAUUUCCCUUGAGGGCAUCUUCCUGAAUCCUGACUCUGUACACCCUGUAAUCAUUGUUUGCUCUUAGUGUAUUGCUUUUAGUAUAUCAAAAUCCAAGGUCAUUAUCCUCCUGUGACUUUAGUCUCAAAAAAGUACUUCCUAAUGAGCGGAUCAGCAAAGCAGAUUAUUUUUAAAUGCGGGGGCAUAUAUGUACUUGAAGAUACCAUUGUAAUAUCCUGGCCUGCAUUCUCCCUCAGAAUUGUACUUCUCAGAAAAACCAGGUAGGGUCUGUCCGGUGGGAUAUACUCCUUGCACUGUUUCUCAGAAGCUUCAUGUCACUUCAGUAGCCAAAGAGCAGCAAAGGACUGGCUCAUUUCCCACCAGAUAACAUUAAAUUUUAUGAAUUCCAUUCUGCAGGCAUCAACCGCUAUUCCCUCUGACAGUGUGCAGGACUACUUGCUCCUUGAUCUACUGCUACUGCAUCUUUGGUUCGUGGGGGCCAGGAAGAGAAGCUCUAACAGCGAUGAAGAAGACCUAGCAUCUCAAGAGCCAACACUGGAGCCCUGACUGCCAGUUCCUUCCUCUCAGUGAACCAAGAAAGUUGAGAGGAGACCUGAGGGAGGACAAACGUUCUAACCUCAGAAUUGCUAAUGGAGAUGUCCCUUCUUCGUCCCAUAAACUAAUAUAAGGAACCAGUCUGCUACAAAGGGGGGCCGGAAGGAGAGGUGUGCGUCUUGAACAAUGCGUCCAUUGCUUGCCUCCUCUUCUUGGCCUCACUUACUGGAAGAGAUUGUAUUUGAAAAUUCAACGUGCUUCAGGGCCUCUUUUGCUUCUGCUGGAAAAAAAAUUACUAGAGGCAAUGGCUACUGCCUUAGGAUAAAGCCUAAUCCAAAAGGUUCUCUAAAGACAGAUUCCACACCUUGAAAAGGACUAGGUUGAGCUGCUUUAGAAAAACAUGCAGGCUUUUUUUCUUAGUUCUUAAAAUAGGCUCAUGUCUUUGCUUUAUUACAUUGCACUUGCAAGGCACAAGACAUGCCUAGGAUAAUUAUUGUGAGGUAGACAGGGCCCUUAAGUUUGUACACUUUUAGGCACUUAUUCAAUGCAUUUUGCCCCAUUCUAAAACAUAAUAGUGUCUUAUCAACAGGAGAGAUGGUUUUACUGCCAGCGAUUCAUCUUUCCUCUUUAAGCCUGCAGUAUAAAUCAAAGCUUUGUUUUUGUGCAACUGUAGCACACGGUAAGAAAGGUUGUGCCAGGUUGGACACAACUUAAUGUGAGAGAACUUCCCUCCAGGUCGGAAUACAAUUUUUGCUCUUAUUGCUAUCACAUUUGGGGAAAUAAAUCUUUCACAGUGCUACCCCUUUUAUAUAGGAUUAUAUUUCCAUUUUCCAGCAAGUGGUGCUUGGUUAUUUAAGCAAGGACUAAUGGCUGCCUACCUGGAAUGCUACUACAGGAGAUUGACCUUAGAUAUAGUAGGUAGUCCUCGACUUAUGACUGUAAUGGAGCCUGCCAAUUACUGUUGUGAAUCAUGAUUGUAAAGCAGGUCAUGACGUGACCAACUUGAUUUUAGAGUUUUGUCCUUGCACUGUCCAUUAAGCAAAUGCCAUGGUCAUUGAGUAAGCUCAUGGUUCACUAUGAUGCAUUUUUGCCGAAAAUCGGAACUAAAUGCUGGUUUUUGGCAAAAAUAUCAUAAAUUGUAGGCAUGUGACUGCAGGACACUGCAAAUGCCCAUAAAUAUGGGCCACUUUCCAAGUGUCCAAAAUGCAGUCGUGUGAUCAUGGGAGGGCAGUCAUCAGAACUUCAGAACCGGGUUGUAAGUAACUCUGGGGAAGUCUGUUGUAACUUCAGUCACUAUGUGACCAGUUGCAAGUCAACGACUACCUUUACUCCUGAAGGACCCUUUUAAAUCUUCUACAAUUUAAGACUCAAUAUUGUCCUAAUCCACUCCUUGUCCUAAACCAUGUUGACUUAACCACUGCUUAUUUCAUAAACCACUGUGGGGCAACACCAAGAAGUCUAAAUCUUAUUGCUGGAGAUGUGAACUCUGCACAGAGGCACUCUUCAAGCAUAUGAGGAGCAGGACUAAACAGCCCUUAAAGCAUUUAGAUGAGAAAACUUUCUGGCUAGUAAAAGCCUAUACGACAUAAAGGUGUGGAGUCUAGUUAUCAGUUCAACACCACUGCUAAGGCAAAUUUGGAUCGGCCCUACUCCUAUGGAGAGAGUUGAGCAUGCAGUGAGUGACAGUAGCAACACUCAGGAGUUGUCUAAAGAAUAUAUAAACUAUAUUCUUAUAUAUAUAUUACUUAUAUAUUACUUUAAUCUCCUGGGCAGGUAUGUACCUGCAUGACUUCCAAAAGCCUUUCUUUAAAAGGGAAUAAUCUACAAAUAAUCCAUAACUGAAGAAUGGUUUCAGUGAACACUUUUUGAGUUCUCCAGACUUCUCUUUGCAUCAUUUGGGGCAAUAGCAGAAAAGCCCCCAUAUUAAGCUAACAGCUGUAGUCAUGAGAUUUGAAAUUAGUGGCUUUAUCUUAGUGCCAUACAGUACCUCAUAUUAAUGCCUCAUUCAAGAUUGACAUCCUUUAUUCUCUUUGCUAGCCUGAAGGAUGUGCAUUUAAUCCGAGGCAAAAUUCAAUUUGAAGGUCCUGUCAGAUUUUAAUUUUCAGAAAUGGCUGCUUUAUCCCAUUGUACAUAAGGUAUCCUCUGCUGUCUUACAAUAAGGUCCCUAAGUCUAGUUUAACUCAGUUCUUGACUGAGUUGAUCCCACAAAAUUUUCUCGUCAACAUUUGCCAUGAUAAUGUUUUUCAAUUUCCUUAUUUGACUUGAAGCCUAGUCAUUUCCUGAUGUCCUCAACUGAGACUUAUGUAAUAAUUGGGGGAUAAUUCUAUUUCAGAUUGUCUUCCUUAUUCCCUGCUUAAAAACAGGAUUAAGAGUACCAGAAAAUCUGAGGACAUAUUAUGCUCUCCAAAGAAAAUACAUUGCCUAACUGUGGAUUUUGAUUUUCUUCCCAGACAUCCCCCGUCAUGCAUGAGCAUUGGCAUUUUUAUUUUUCUACAGUAUAUCCCAUGUAAAGAAAAUCUGCUUAUUCUAAAGAGAGUCAAAGGCUUCCUUUUGUCCAAGAAGUUUAGUUUUCUAGCGCAAAUCUGCAAUAAAACUGAUGUUCCUUUGAAAAA